GGCGUGCCUAAUACAUGCAAGUCGAGCGGAACCAUUGGAGCUUGCUCCUUUGGUUUAGCGGCGGACGGGUGAGUAACACGUGGGCAACCUGCCCUGCAGAUCGGGAUAACUCCGGGAAACCGGUGCUAAUACCGAAUAGUUUGCGGCCUCUCAUGAGGCUGCACGGAAAGACGGUUUCGGCUGUCACUGCAGGAUGGGCCCGCGGCGCAUUAGCUAGUUGGUGGGGUAACGGCCUACCAAGGCGACGAUGCGUAGCCGACCUGAGAGGGUGAUCGGCCACACUGGGACUGAGACACGGCCCAGACUCCUACGGGAGGCAGCAGUAGGGAAUCUUCCGCAAUGGACGAAAGUCUGACGGAGCAACGCCGCGUGAGUGAAGAAGGUUUUCGGAUCGUAAAACUCUGUUGUGAGGGAAGAACAAGUAUCAACUAACUAUUGGUACCUUGACGGUACCUCACCAGAAAGCCACGGCUAACUACGUGCCAGCAGCCGCGGUAAUACGUAGGUGGCAAGCGUUGUCCGGAAUUAUGGGGCGUAAAGCGCGCGCAGGCGGUCCUUUAAGUCUGAUGUGAAAGCCCACGGCUCAACCGUGGAGGGUCAUUGGAAACUGGGGGACUUGAGUGCAGAAGAGGAAAGUGGAAUCCACGUGUAGCGGUGAGAUGCGUAGAGAUGUGGAGGAACACCAGUGGCGACGGCGACUUUCUGGUCUGUAACUGACGCUGAGGCGCGAAAGCGUGGGGAGCCAACAGGAUUAAUACCUGUAGUCACGCCGUAACGAUAGUCUGUGUAGGGGUUCGACGUCGGCUCACUACCC
rnacentral:rRNA from 1 species